GCAAUUAGUACACCGCAAUGCCGCAUAGAUACUUACCAGUAGUUACAGAACCACCUUUUUUAUUGCUGAUAAUUUUGGUUUGUUUUCGACUCUCAAGAAGUCAAUAAGAUUCAAAAUUAGUACCCUGGAUAAGCUAAAGUUUGCCUAAUCUCAACUUUUUUUUCUGCUUUUUGCAGUUCUUAUACACUAACUGCCAUCGCACAAUUUAUAACCAUGGCCCGAUCUUCACCCAUUAAGUUAAAUUUGAAAAACCUGCCUUUGUUACCGAGCAAUGUCCACAUCCCUAAAUAUACUCGGAAUCCUGAAGGCUCACCGACAAUCGUUCAUAUCAGCGUCGGCGGCUUCCAUCGAGCCCAUCAAGCUAUGUAUUUGGAUAGACUCUUGGAAACUGGUCAGUCGGAUAAAUGGAGAUUGGUCGGAGUGGGACUGCUACCCUUCGACAUUCCCGCUCGCGACGCCAUGCGCGCUCAAGACUGCUUAUACACUUUAGUGGAACGCGAUGCGUCCGGUGAUAAAGCCCACGUUAUUGCAGCGAUUUCCGGUUAUCUUUACGCGCCGGAUGAGUCCGAAGCUGUUAUACAAACCAUGGCGGAUCCAUCCUGCCGCAUUGUUACUUUGACGAUCACGGAAGGUGGUUAUUUUAUUCAUCAAGGCACGGGACAGUUUAAUGCUGUUGAUCCUCUCAUCCAGCAUGAUUUGCAGCAUCUAGAUGCGCCACGAUCGUCAUUUGGUUAUAUUCUGGCGGCUCUCCGUCGUCGGAAGAAGCAGGGACAACCACCGUUUACGAUUCUGUCGUGUGACAAUAUUCAGCAUAAUGGCGAUGUCGCGAAGAAUAUGAUUAUUGCUUUCGCCAAAUUAGCCGACGCCGAAGUAGGGAAAUGGCUGGAAAAGGAGGGUGCGUUCCCCAACUGUAUGGUGGACCGUAUUACGCCGGCCACGACCGAUGUGCACCGGAAGUUAGUGCGAGAAGAAUUCGGGAUUGAUGAUCUGUGGCCGGUUACGUGCGAGUCAUUUACACAAUGGGUUAUUGAAGAUCAUUUUCCGCUGGGCAGGCCGGCGUGGGAAAAAGCUGGCGCACAAAUGACAACGGAUGUUCUGCCGUACGAAAAGAUGAAAUUACGGACUGUCAAUUGUGGUCACCAAGCUUUAUGCUACAUUGGAAUGCUGUUAGGAUACAGAUAUUCGCCGGAAGCAAUGGCUCACCCGGACAUCCACAAACUUUUGCAGCGUUUGUUCGACGAGGAAGUAACGCAGCUGCUGGACCCGGUUCCCGAUAUUGACAUUACCCAAUACAAAUCCAUCGUUUUAGAGCGCUUUGCGAAUCCAGCAGUGAAUGAUCAACUAUUGCGCAUUGGUACAGAAGGUUCCGCCAGAAUUCCGAAAUUCGUUCUACCGUGCGUUCGAGAUGCUAUAAAGCGCGGGUCCCAGCUGACUUUCCUUUGUUUUACUAUUGCAUCCUGGAUAUAUUAUUUGGGCCAAGAAAACGAUGAGACUAAUGAAAAACUAGGGUUUAACGAUCCGAUGCUAGAAAAACUGCAGAAAGCGGCGACAUCCGGCAAAGCGGAUCCCCGUGCUGUACUGAGGAUUGCCGAAGUAUUUGGCGAUGACCUUCAUGUCAACCACAAUUUCUUAAAAUUAGUGGAGAAUAUUUUGCAAGACUUUUACCAGAGCGGUGCUAAACAAACACUACAAAAGUGGGUGGGCCGUUAGUUAAAGUGGUUUAUUUGUUCCACAUGUUGGCCAAUAAUUUAUGCUCAACCCUAGUGCCUUAUGACUAAGGCGUUAUACACCUGCGCUGCUGCGCAUAACUUUGCUUCCGUUAAUGACUGCAACAAUAAUCAUCAAAUAAAUGUUUUGUGUUUUCUUAAAAAUUAAUAAAUUCAAGCGAACUACUAUUACAACACAUUUCGUUAAAUAAAAGCACUGUACUUGUAGUUCGUAGAUCACUAUAUAUGCCGCAAUUAUUCGUAACGGUCUAUAAUCUGCUUGAUGUUGCGACUUUGACCUGGCUGUGACAGAGAUGUUCGUAUACAGAUACUUCAGUACUUCUAGUCAUCGUUCCUUACCUUUUUAUUCUGAUGUAUUUCGGGCUUGCCAGCCUGGUGACAUCAUAUUUAAUUACUUAUUCUCAUCGCUAUCUGCCUGACUUCAACUUAGCAAUGGCUACAGCGCUGAACUGCGCUCCCGCAUCAUCGUCCAAAGAGAGAUCCGAUGGACCAUCAGACAACAUUUUGUCCAAGUAUCGUGGAUGUUUGAUGGGGGCUUUGGCUGGAGAUUGUAUUGGAUACA